UGUAGCCGAUGGACAACAGGUGGAGAUUCCUGUACUAUGAUAUGACAGAACUGUGGGGACACGUGCAGAAAGCGGAAGCCGGGAAUGGGAUCCCGGUGCAAGCGAGGUACCAGCCACAUUGGAAAAACCGUGUGGCAAUGGGAAGACGUGAUGCGGAGCGAAAUAAAGUAGCGAAGUCCGUGAGCUGUGCGUCAAGAAAAGCCGCUAUUGUUCAUACCAUACCCGUACCGUAAACCGACACAGGUGGAUGAGGAGAGAAUCCUAAGGCCGGCGGAAGAAGCAUUGUCAAGGAACUCGGCAAAAUGACCCCGUAACUUCGGGAGAAGGGGUGCCUGUGAAAACAGGCCGCAGAGAAUAGGCUCAAGCAACUGUUUAGCAAAAACACAGGUCUAUGCGAAACCGAAAGGUGAGGUAUAUGGGCUGACGCCUGCCCGGUGCUGGAAGGUUAAGAGGAGAGGUUAGCGCAAGCGAAGCUUUGAAUUUAAGCCCCAGUAAACGGCGGCCGUAACAAUAACGGUCCUAAGGUAGCGAAAUUCCUUGUCGGGUAAGUUCCGACCCGCACGAAAGGCGUAAUGAUUUGAGCGCUGUCUCGACAAUGCAUCCGGUGAAAUUGAAGUACCAGUGAAGAUGCUGGUUACCUGCGCCAGGACGGAAAGACCCCAUGGAGCUUUACUCCAGUUUGGUACUGGGAUCCGGUACUGCAUGUACAGGAUAGGUGGGAGGCUGAGAAGCGGUAACGCCAGUUGCCGCAGAGCCGCUGUUGGGAUACCACCCUUGCAGUAUUGGGUUUCUAACCAGCCGCCGUGAACCGGCGGUGGGACAAUGCCAGACGGGGAGUUUGACUGGGGCGGUCGCCUCCGAAAGGGUAUCGGAGGCGCCCAAAGGUUCCCUCAGAAUGGACGGAAACCAUUCGAAGAGUGCAAAGGCAGAAGGGAGCUUGACUGCGACACCGACGGGUGGAGCAGGUACGAAAGUAGGGCUUAGUGAUCCGGUGGUAUUAAGUGGGAAUGCCAUCGCUCAACGGAUAAAAGCUACCCUGGGAUAACAGGCUUAUCACUCCCAAGAGUUCACAUCGACGGAGUGGUUUGGCACCUCGAUGUCGGCUCAUCGCAUCCUGGGGCUGUAGUAGGUCCCAAGGGUUGGGCUGUUCGCCCAUUAAAGCGGUACGCGAGCUGGGUUCAGAACGCCGUGAGACAGUUCGGUCCCUAUCCGGCGUGGGCGUAGGAUAUCUGAGAGGAGCUGUCCUUAGUACGAGAGGACCGGGAUGGACGGACCGCUGGUGUACCGGUUAGACUGCCAAGUCUACGGCCGGGUAGCCAAGUCCGGAAGGGAUAAACGCUGAAGGCAUCUAAGCGUGAAGCCCCCCUCGAGAUGAGAUAUCCCAUCCGAAAGGAGUAAACCCCCUUGAAGACGACGAGGUUGAUAGGGCAGGGGUGGAAGCACAGUGAUGUGUGGAGCUGACUGCUACUAAUAGGGUGAGGGCUAGACCU
rnacentral:rRNA from 1 species